GGGUCAUGGCGACGACGCGCCGCCGCUGGCGCUGGGUAAACACACGGUCACUCAAUCGCUACUGGGUGCCCUGCGAGGCACCUAAGUUGCAGGGAAAUGCGAGCACCGCCAUUUAAGUCGCGAAGGGUCCAGGUGGCGGGCCAACCGUGGGACCGUCAGACAAUGGAUUCUUCAGCUGAAAAGAAUCGAGCUAUCAAGCCAUGGACAGACGAAGAGGAACAGGAAAUGCCUGUGACUGAGGGACAGAAGCCAAUCUGAAAAGGCUCCGCACGGUGUGACUCCAACCCUACGAUGUUCUAGAAAAGACAGAAUUACGGAGACACAGCCCUCCAGCCCUCGACCUUCUGGCCUCAGGACCCACCUGCUUCCUCCUGUCCCGACAGCCUGCCUCCACUCUGUCCUCUGCAAUCGGCUCUGCUGCCCAGUGUGUUCUGCAUCCUCCGGGGCUGUCCUGCUCCUGCUGAGGCCCGGAGGGCUCCACUCACCAGUCCCUGCGUUCAUGCUGCUCACUGGGCUCCCAGAAGCACAUCCACCACCUGCCAAGCACCUGCCGAGCCCGGCCUGGGGCUCAGUGCGCCCUCCUCCCUGUCUCUUCCUCACAGCCCCUCCCGAAACAGCACCCCUCGCGUUCCACCCGCAGCACCCCCCCCCCCCCCGCUCCCACUGGCUCACAUCUGCAGGGUCACUAGCUAGGAGUGGUCCAGGCAUUUCAAAUUUGACCUCCCCAAUUCCACACCCGUCUCCUCACUCCCAACCACCUCCCCCUCUCCUCCCAGCAGCCAUGAGGAUGUGACUUUCAUUCAAAAGUCACAUUUCCAAGCUAAAGAAAAAUCACGUGAUCAUAUCAAUAGGUGCAGAAAAAGCAUUUGACAUAAUUCAACAAAAUGCCAAGUUCAAGGUAAAAACAACCCGGCAAACUACAAUAGGAAGGGGGGGCAUUUUAGACCUGAUAAAGGACACCUGCAGAAACCCUGCCGCGAAUGCCACGUCUACCAGGAGAAAUGGGAUGCUUCCUCCAGUCAUCAUGCCUCCUCCCUCCACCCCUUUCCCAGGUCAGGCUGGGAGUCGUGGCUAAUGCACUGUGACCAGUAGAAGGAAUAAAAGGUAUAUAGUGAUUGUCUAUGCAGAACAUCUCAUUUCCCAGCUCAGAACCCUACAUCAAAUUUCAUUGUGUCCAGCAGACAAUAGGAUGGUGAAGGCUGGG